UCUCCGUAGGUGAACCUGCGGAAGGAUCAUUAAAGAGAAUAUGCCCUUCGGGGUAGAUCUCCCACCCUUUGUUUAUAUUACCUUUGUUGCUUUGGCAGGCCCGUCUUCGGACCACCGGCUUCGGCUGGUCAGUGCUUGCCAGAGGACCCAAAACUCUUAUUAUUAAUGUCGUCUGAGUACUAUAUAAUAGUUAAAACUUUCAACAACGGAUCUCUUGGUUCUU
rnacentral:misc_RNA from 1 species